rnacentral:lncRNA from 1 species
GUAACGACCAGACUCCAGUCCUGUACCUCAACGCUUCCAGUGCCAAGGAGGGGGAAAUAAUUUUCUUUCAGUGUGUCAUUGAUUGGCAGUUUCCUGCUACACGAGUUGUCUUCUGCAAGAAUGGGCAGGAGGAGUUCAGCCUGAAAGCCCAGCAGGGCAAGGUCAUCUAUGCUCUGGUCCUGAACAUCACCUCCAGAAGUGCUGGGACGUACACGUGUGGAUACCAGCAGAGGAACGAGAGCAACUGGGUGAGGAACUCUGCUCUCAGUGCUCCCCAGACCCUGUCUGUACCAGGUGAGACACGGCCCCAGUGUGGUGGUGGCAGAAGGGACAUGGGCACUUGCCACCACAUGGCUGUGCUGAGGCUGGAGCUGUGUGCUGCAGCAGGCAGGGCAUGGCUCUGGGGUGGUUCCCCCUUGGGAGAGCUGCUCUCAAGGGCUGCCCCUGUCCCUUCAUCAGCACCUACACAAUAGGUAGACUUUGUGAAGCAGACGAGGGCAUGUGCCCUGAAAUGUUUAGGAUACUCAGUGUGUUUUCGGCACUUUUACGCCUCCCCUGGGGAUGGUUCUGGCUGUCGGUGGGGGGAUGUGCCCAUGGGGCUGUGUGUCCCCUGCCCCACACACACGUGCUCAGGGAUGUUGCAGGACACGAGAUAAAUAUGUGCCUAGUCUGGGCAGUACGGGGCAUGCUGCAGACCCUCAUCCUGUUCCUUUCUCCUGCCAGGCAGUGUGGCCAGCUCCCCAGCAAGGCCAUUGCCCCCAGGCAAUGUGGUGAGUUCCCCAGCAACUCCACCACCCACAGGUGAGUGAUUCCCUCCUACACCCUCAGGACCACCAGAAUGGGUCUCAGUCACUCCAGCGUGCUGUCCCCAGGGAACGGGCCCAUGCAGGAGCUUCACCAGGCAGGAGGUCUGCCAGCUGCACGGGCACAUCCUGCUCCCUGCCUCUCCCCAUCACACCCUGCUGCCCUCACACCCUCUGUCCCCCAACUCCAAAUUCCCGGAUCCCACACACCCUCCCCACAGGCACGGCACUGGCAGUGGCGGCUGUCGGCCUCAUCCUUCUGGCUGCAGGCAGCUGGUUUG